AUUGAACGCUGGCGGCAGGCCUAACACAUGCAAGUCGAGCGAUCGGCGGACGGGUAAGUAAUGUAUGGGGAUCUGCCCGAUAGAGGGGGAUCACUUCUGGAAACGGUUGCUAAUACCGCAUACUAUCGGAUGAACACAACUGGGAUUAGCUAGUAGGUGGGGUAAAGGCUCAGCUAGGCGACGAUCUCUAGCUGUUCUGAGAGGAUGAUAAGCCACACUGGGACUGGGACACGGCCCAGACGACGACGGGAGGCAGCAGUGGGGAAUAUUGCACAAUGGGCGCAAGCCUGAUGCAGCCAUGCCGCGUGUAGGAAGAAGGCCUUAGGGUUGUAAAGUACUUUCAGCGGGGAGGGGUUACCCGCAGAAGAAGCACCGGCUAACUCAGUGCCAGAAGCCGCGGUAAUUC
rnacentral:rRNA from 1 species